GGGGAGAUUGGUCGUUAGGGUGGGGCCACCUACUGAUAGUGAAGAUCCCAGGGUCUUCUUGAUGUAUGAUCGAUGGUUCCGACUACCAGGGUCGGUCCUUGUGUGCCUCAUGAUCUGUAGUUGAUGGUUCCGACCAUUAGGGAAACGUGGAAGGUGUUUGGGUUUAUAGCUGCAUCCUUCAGUGGGGAUUGCCUACGUACCUUUCAGUGAGGGAUCAAGCCGUUCGUAGUUCAUGUAUAUGGAGGC
rnacentral:lncRNA from 1 species